rnacentral:lncRNA from 1 species
CAUGGAUAUGAUAAAUAGUUGCUCUGCCAUGUACCUAGUUUUCAAGUUUGAGCUCUCUCUCAAGUUUAGGCAUAACUGUUAUAAUUUAAACCUGCUCUAAACCUGAACUUGUGGGAAGAGUACUUGAUCUAAAGUCUAAGUCGUUAACGGAUACGAUAUGGAAAGGUUGAGCUGCUGUUUAUCUGUUCCUAGAGUUGCUAGAAUUCUGGAGAAUAUUAUCUUUGAAAAUCUUUAAAAUAUUGCAUGAUGAGUUCCUGUAUGAUAAGAGUUUAAAUUCCUACCACAGCCAUACAUACAUGCUUAUUAGACUAAGAACCAUACAUUUACUUUUUACUGCUUAUGAGCAUUGAGUGUGGUCAAGUUGUGUAGACCCUUAGGAGCUUGUCAUGCGGUUAAAAUCAAGAUUCACUUGCACGUUCACUCAUACAUGCUACUUCUACUCCGGAAGUACGCAUCCAUAUACAUCCACUCAAUUCCAUCUCUAGAUUCACCUAAAAUUAUUCUACUCCUAUCCGAGAGAGAAUAGCCAAAAAACUUUUUCAUAUCCCUGUUUUUCCCUGUGAAAUAAAUGCUUGAGUUAUCUUGGUUACUACCACUUGCUAUAUUAUUUCAGGAGAUGAGUGCUCUUAAAAAAAAGAAAAAAAAGAAAAAAAAAAGAGAAAGGAUACGAGGAAAUAAAAAGGGGCAAGUGCCCAGAACCUCGAAGAAAAGAAAAAGUGCAAGAUACCCACCUGAGAGGAAAGAAAAAGAAAAAUAAAAUAUAGAGCAUCUCAUUCUCCUCAAAAAGCUUCAAAGUGCAAGAAAGAUAUGUAUCCCCUUAAAAGAGCAAAAGGAGAAUUAGGCUUUCACCAUUGUUAUCAUCAUACACCAUUCAUUCGCCACACAUGCACAUCUUGAUUUGAUUUUUUGACUUGUUUCUCUGGAUCCAUGGUUUGACUAUGCAAUAAAUGUCUUGUAAGUAUGUAUGCUUUAUCUCCCACCUAUGAGCUCCAGAUAUCAAAAACUUAUUAGAGUAGGGUGAGAGAGAAGGCAAUAUCAUUAUGCCUCAUACCAAAAAUACCACAUACUUUGAGAGAAGGCAUAUACCAUUACUACCUUGGAAAGGAUCCAGAAAUACCACAAAAGAGAGAUUUGAGAGAGUCAUACAAGAAAUCUCUGAGUUUUAUUUGAAAAUCUGCAAAAACUUCAGAGCUAUAGUUAAUCAAAGAACAAGAGACAUGGUGCUUGACUAGACUGUUCUAUCUUUUAACUGCUCAAGACACAAGUGACAGUUGCAAGCCCCAUGGUGAAAGGUAAAAUGAGUAAGUUUUAAGUCUUAAUAGUUUACUCUAACUCAGAGAUGAGAUCUUGCUUGAACGCAUGUGUACAUUUAAGGCAUGAAACCACUGUAGAAACUCUUGAGUCCAUCCUUGCUCAGGGACGAGCAAGAGGUAAGCUUGGGGGAGUUGUUGACGGUCCUUAAGUACCAAAUAUAACCAUCAAAUAAAUAAAGGAAAGGAUCCAAAUGCAACCAACACCCAGACUUAGGGUUUUAUCUAACAGAAUUCCACGAGUUUUGGUGUUUGUCUAUUUCUGGAGGGGGUUAUCAGGAAAUAUGGAGAAAAGGCCCACACGUCGGGUUUACAUAGAGAUAUUAACGUGUGCGCCAAUUUUUUAUCAUCUAGAAGAGUCCAGAAGCCACGGGAACGAACGAGGGUCCGAGCGGGCCCAGGGGCAGGGCGCCCGCCCUCCCCCCUAGGGUGCCCGCCCUGCUAUAGGGACCAAUCAGGUCCUGCCUCGUGGAUUAUGCUCCACCGACCUAAAGGAUUAAGGAAAACCAUGCGAUUAAGGUCGGUUUGAUCCGACGGCCCACGUUCAUUUGGAGGGGCUAUAUAAGCAGGCCCCCUGGCCCCUGGAGGAGGGCAAUCCCAUUAUUCAUUAGCAUAUUUUUCCAGAGAUGAUUCAGAGAGAGAGGUCCCUCUAUGGUUCCAACCUCAUAGGGCUUAGCAUCCAAUGUAAGAUUAGAAUUAGUUCUUCUAGAUUGAGAGAGAUAGAGUGGAGGUGUAGAUCGGAGGAAGCCCGGCCUGUCGGUGUCUACUCCGAGGUUGUACCUGCGGGAUCAAGUCUCCUAACCGGAGGCUUGCUCCUAGGAUUCAUCAGUAUUUUGACUUCUAAAUUCUACUAAGCUCUUUGUUCUUAUUGUUCUUUGGUUUACGAGUUUACUUUAAUCUCUUCCGAUAGAGUUUAGAGUAAUCAUUGCUAGCGUAAACGUGGUGUUUGGGCUAGGGUACUCAUAGAUAUCCCCUGUCUAGCCGGACCAUGGUAGUAACGAGGAACGUGACAUUUCUAUAGCUACCUUUGUAGCCCACAAUCCCGUUAGCAGGAUCAGUAGGGUUUUCAGGUGCGGGUCGAACAUUGGUGUCUAGAUUCCGUAAGCCUCCCCAAUAGAACAGUAGAUCAUCCUUACCAAGGUUAGAACAAGAGUGUGGUUGUAGUCUUCUCUAUACAUCGCUCACAUCAAAUCACAUUGUUUGUAGCCUAAAGGGUAGUAGCAGUAAAUUUGGUUAGUCAGAUGCAUGCUUUCUCCCAGUGGUAAAAAAAUAAAUACGAUACUCUGGAUAACUUCCCGGGUGAAAUGCUCACCGAUAUCCGUGCGCUUGCGGAUCAUUUCCUAAUGGUGUUAACAAAUAUCAACAAUACACAUUCCAUACAUAGGACAUUUUUGCAUUUGAGAAAGUGUUUGUAAACUCUAGUCAUAAAGUCUUGAAUCGCACACAGACUUUAUGAAACUAUAUGCGGGACCUAUGGAUUUAGAACUACACUUUCGCAACGCUUUGUCAAAUGCAAAAGUGUCCUAUGUAUCAAAUGUAGAUCUCGAUGAGUGGAACAAACUUGCUAUUCAUGACUUUUCGACUUGGGGCCGUCUAGGGUCCCGAAAACGUGUGUAGCCGUGAAAUUUUGAAAUUUCAAAAUUUGAGUGGUCCAAACCCUCUUAGAUGAAAAGUUGACCAUUACACCAAAUGUGUAUCUUGAUAAGGUGGACAAACUUUGUAUUCAUGACUUCUGUAGCUGAGACCAUCUAGGGUCCGGUCAAAGUGUUUUUUCUGAAAAAUCCAAUGUUUGACUUGGUCAAACUAGGUCAAACUAGGCACUAAAUGACCUCAAAUGAAAAACUUUUGAAUACAAGGUAGUUAGAGCUCAUCAAUAUACGCAUUCCAUACAUAGAUAAUUUUGCAUUUGAGAAAGUGUUUGUAAACUCUAGUCACAAAGUCUUGAAUCACACACAGUCUCAAUUAAUUAAUUAUUACAUAAUAUCUUUAAUUACAACCCACUAUCAUGCGGGCACAACAGUGAACUUCUUCUUGACAUAUGACCCUUGGUUAUGAUCAUCCCUUAACCAUGGAGUGUCCUUAUUGUUUAACAAAAUGCUUGGGUCUUUGUUCACUUUGAAUGGCAGAAUUCUGUCAUCCCUUUCAUAUUCUCCUGACAUGUCUGACUUGUCCUCAAUUCCGACAAUGUUUCUUUUCCCGAAAAGAACUAUGUGGCGCUUUGGCUCAUGAUAGACUUUUGAAUUGCCAUCAUUUUUCCCUCUCUUUGGUUUUGUAGACAAAUCUUUAAAAUAGAACACCUGACUCACAUCAGCAGCUAGGACGAAUGCUUCAUCUUUGUACCCAACAUUGUUAAGUGUUGACGGUCCUUAAGUAUCAAAUAUAAUCAACAAAUAAAUAUAGAAAAGGAUCCAAAUGCAACCAACACCCAUACUUAGGGUUUUAUCUGAUAGAAUUCCAUGAGUUUUGGUGUUUGUCUAUUUCUGUAGGGGGUUAUCAGGAAUUAUGGAAGAAAGGCCCACACGUCGGGUUUACAUAGAGAUAUUAACGUGCCGCGUAAUUAUCCUACAUCUAGAAGAGUCUAGAAGCUACGGGAACAAACGGGAGACUGGACGGGCUCGGGGGCAGGGCGCCCGCCCUCCCCCUUGGGCGCUCGCCCGGGCCUCGAGGCCAAUCAGCUCCAAUCUCGCGGAUCAUGCUCCACCGACCUAAAGGAUCAAGGAAAACCGUGUGAUUAAUGUCGGUUUGAUCCGACGACCCACAUUCACUUGGAAGGACUAUAUAAGCAGACCCCCUAGCCCCUAGAGGAGAGGACCUCUGAACCCUAAUUCAUUAUUCAUCUUGGGAGAAGAAGCCUCUGAUCAAGCCCUAGAGCCACCACAUCAAUUAGAUCUCUAGUUUAGCAUAGCUACAUAGGAUUAGAACUAGAAGGAGUCAAUCUUCGAUUGGUUUCCGGAUCUGUCAAGAGGAUUCUUAUUAAUUCCUCUCUUGUUCUUCAAUUGUUCAUCUUUGUUCUUCAAUAUUAUGAAUAUGACUUUGUUCUACUUCAAUAUAUUGAUUAUGACUUUGCUCUACUUGUUUAUAUUCGCAAUUAUAUUGUUCUUAGUUUAUCAUAGUUAUAUGUUUGGCUUAGUUAGAUUGUAAUUAUAUAUGUCGGUGUUUUCCCCCUGGGGGGUCACACCAACGAGUAAAACUUGUAUGCGUGCUCCCUUUCCCAGAUGGUGAUGCAAAAAGACACAAAGAUUUAUCCUGGUUCGGACAAGAGAAGGCCCUACGUCUAGCGGGGGAGAGAGUUUGUAUUAUUCUGCACCUAAGUGCUUGUACAGGGGUGAAUACAAGCAUGGUAUGGAUGGAGAUGGAGUGAGUUCACUCUACUACGUGUGUGUUGUAUCACCUGUCCUGUAUCCGCUCCCAGGCUUCCCCUUUUAUAGUUCCAAGGAGGGGCCUAGGGUACAUGUAUAGGCGUCAGAGUAGGGGUCGAUAGAGGUAUGGCGCGCUGACCUACUCGAGGCCUCCGUACCGGUGUGGUUUCGAGCCAUCUUGUCCUGGUAGCUUGAUGAUGAUUACGCGUGCCCCGGUAUCCCGCUCUGCGCGCCAUCCUGGGCUGGUUUAUCUGUGGUAUGCUUGUACGUCGCGGCAGCAUCUGCGUCGGAGUGGUUGAGGUUCUAUCACUCAUCGCCCGACUCUUCUCCAGGAAGGAAAUGUGCCUACUCGAGGGUAUGGCGCCGUAUAAUGCCUUGCCAGCCAGAGCGCUGACCUCAGGCGUCUCGAGGGGGGUCUUGAUUAGACGUUCCGACCCACUCCCUGCAUUCUGCCACGUUCUGGCUUGUUUGGUGGGGAAGGCUGCAAAAAGAAUGACGGGAUGGGUGCCUGUUCCCUAUCACGCUUCCUGUGACUGGCGAGUUAGGUGAGAACGCGAUAGGCGCAUUAAAUGCCCUGGCUCCCGUGCCUGUGUCAGGCGGUGGAUGGCGUCCUUGCGCUCGACGCCCUCCGAUUCGCUCGAGCCUGUUUCCGUGUUCGACGGUAGCCGGUGCUCGAGCCCUGAUCGAUUCGCAGGACGCUCUUUCCGUGUUCGAGACUAUGGCCGUCGAGGACCGUACGUGUGACUGGGCAGAGCGUCGAGUUGGAGGCCUCGACUUGCGUACGGGCAUCCUCAUCAUGCACAUCAGUUAGGGUACCCCUUACUGAUAUCCUCAACAGUAGCCCCCGAGUCUCCAUUUGAGCGCUGGCGCUCGAUUGGAGGCUAUAUUUUGUGGUUGAGUUUCCGUGGGGGCGCGCGAGCGACCCCGCGGGGGUAGCCCCCGAGUCCAUGGAGGAGUUUUUGACUCCUUCAAGGGCUGUAAUGCCUAAUUUGUGGAAAAGCCAUCGAUAUCCAUCGUGGAAGGUUCUGAUUGAUUCGUUUUAUGCGGGGGGGGGGGGGCUCGACGUACUCCCGGUGGAGCGAGCGUCGUUUACCCUAGGUCGAGCUCCUAAUAGGUAGUCCAAGUGAGAACCUGUGCCCCUUUCGAGGGGAUCAGUUGCAGCCCAGAGGCGUUCUCAUAAAGCAGGGUCGGCGUGGUCGGGGUGACUGGCCUCGUUCGAUAGAGUCCAGUGGCUCGAUGCCUACCUUCGGGGGGAUUCCUCACGACCAUAUCGACCCUGCCUUGGACAUCCCCAGUGAAUUCUCGAUGCAGGCCUCAACUUUCGACCACUCGCUGGGCAUCCCUGACUCUGGUACUCGAGAUCGGCUGUCAAACCCAUUCGGUGGGCCAGCCUGCGACCUCUCGAGAUUUUUGGUACAACGAGUGCGUACCUUAGCUUACAAGGGAAGGAAGAGGCCGUGGCAGUUGGCCUUUCUGCCCGUUGGGCGUGCCUUUUUAGGCAGGAAUCGUUGCGACACUGUAUCGGCGCAGAAUUCAUAGCGUCCCGUCUGUGAGGAGGAAAAAAACCGUUAGGCGGCGCAUUUAUGGGGGGAGUUACCAUGUUUAUCGGAUCUGUCCGUUGGUGGGUUGCCGCCUAUAAAUAUCCCACGGCCUUGCUGCCGUUUUCCCUUCCACCUUCUGCCUCCAUUCUUGCCUCAGCUCCCUUGCCCUCUCACGCGCGCGCACCCUCGAGCACCAGUGAAGUCGCCUCUCUCCCACCUGAAGAUGCCAGUGAGGCUCAUUGCCGCCGAUGACUGGCGCCCGUCGUCGACGAUGGAGCGCCGGCUGUUGGAGCUCGAGAGGGAGGGACUCCUACGCCCCCGCACGUCGUUGUCGCAGCCGGAGUGGAUCGCGCCGGUGGCUGACCAUCGGGAGCCAAGGCCGCCCACAGGCUAUGUGGUCUCCUUCGCCAAAUUUCACCGCCACGGCCUGGGCGCUCCUCCGAGUCGCUUCAUGCGGGCGCUCUGCCAUCACUACGGGGUGGAGCUCCAGCAUUUCUCCCCAAACGCCAUCACCGCCGUGGCGGUUUUUGCCGCGGUGUUUGAUGGCUACUUGGGGAUGAUGCCCCACUAGGAUUUGUGGCUCCAUCUGUACCGGGGCGAGCUCUUCAACGCCCCCGAUGGAAGCGCGGGAGUAAGGAAGCCGGUUUGAGCUGGGUGCCUCAACCUGGUGCUCAAGACCGGCAAGUCGGAGAGGUCGCGCGAGUACAUCCCGGUGGGGUUGACGUCGAACCACGCCGGAUGGGACUCCCAAUGGUUUUACUUGCGGAACAACGACGACCUCCUCUCGGCCUACACUGGGCGUCUGAUCUCGGAGCGUCCCAAGCACUGGAAGUAUGGCGUCGUCUAAGUUCACCAGCCGCGGCUCGACCCCAUCCUCGACGCCUUGAAGAAUUUACAUGAGGAAGGCCUGACCGCCGCUCUCGUCCUCUCGGCCGUCCAUCAAUGGAGGGUUCUCCCAUUGAUGUCUCGACCGUUGAGGAUGGACGAGAUGGGUCCCGGCAUUUUGUCCCGGGAUCUCGAGGCGUGCCGGAUGUCCAACGAGGCUCCGGUGGACGAUGAGGUCGCGACCCGGGUCAGGGCGGCUGUCGCCGGUGACUUCCAGCCGGAACAUGUUACUGGCUUCCCUAUGAGGCCUGAUGUGGGAUCGAUCGACUUGGUGAGUCUUUUUUCUUCUUACGACUUCGAUUCUCGAUUUUCGUUGGUCCUUCUUAAGACUUAUCCUUGUCUGCGCAGGGAUCGAUCAACGUUCGAUCAUCGAGGCCUCCAGUGAAGGAGGACGAGGUCGAUCGUGAUAAGCGGCGAGAGUCCGCGGAAAAGUAGAAGUCCGCAUUAGACUUAAAAAAGAAAAAUGAGAAGAAAAAGAACCUCGAGCGCUAGGCGCUGGAGACGCGCCGAGCGAAAUCCAGGCAGAGGGAGGAGCCUGAGGAAGAGUCUCCUGAUGAGGACGAUGGCGGCGACUGUGACGACGGCAGCGACGACUCCGAGGGGAUGGUGUCCCGGCGUGACAGGAUCCUAAACUCCGACGUCGACGCCCCGCGGACGGGAGCAACAAAGGAGGGGCCAAGCAGGUCUCUUGAGAGGCAACAGAGGGAGUCGUCCCCUCGCCGCUCCCGUGCUGACACCCCUCCCGCGCCUGUGCGGGGUCGGUCUGUCCCGCGCCCCCAGCCUCCCCCUGCGCCAAAGGCGGGCGAUCGGGCUAAGCCCCAGGCGACGGGGCCGUUGACCCGUGGCUGUGCCGCGGCUUCCGGCAAGGGGGAAACAAGCCACAGGAGCGCUAGCCCUGGCACUCACCAGGCAGGAGAUGCCGAGUCGAGGCCUACGCCCGUUCGUGAGGGGCCUGGAGCCUUGACGCGGGGCGGUUCGAGGCCCGCCGGCCGAGGUACUGGCAGACAGGCCGUUCUCCCUGUGGGGUAAGGUUUCGAUGUCACGAUUCCUAUCCCUCGAUGUCUCUGCACUUUCCCAGCUUCGCUUACGCCUGUUCUUUUUUCUCAGGUUGAAGCGGACGCUCGAGCAGGCCCAACCUCCGAUGGCCAAAAGGCUUAAACUGGGAGCGGCCUCCAAAGAUUCAGGUUAGCGGCUCAUUCCCAUUGUUAUGGGAGUUGCGUUGUUCUUACGUCGAUCGUCGUGACAACUGACCUUUGCUUUUUGUGUGUUUUAUAGGCUCCUCUGACCCCCGACCGCCGACCGCCGCCGAGAGCGCCUCGACCCGUCCCCUGGUGGGUGAGUCCACCCCACCGUCACCGAAGCAGGUCGAGUCACCUCACCCCCAAGAGCAAGAGGGAGCCCUCGAGCCUCCCCGAUCUGGGGUCGAGGGGGAUCCUAUCACUAUAAGUGAUGGGUCCGGCGGCGACAGGUCUUCGAAGAACGCCCGUCCUAUAGACGAGGAGGUCGAAACCUCCCUUGUUGCAAAGCGGACGCCCUGGCCUGCCAGGCUUCGCUCCGUCGAGGAGUAGAGGAAUAAGGAGGAAGAGGAGAGCGAGCAGGAUACGCGGCAACAGCCGCAGGAGGAGCAGCGGCUGUAGCCGAAAGAAGGAGAGGAGGGGCAGCCGCCAGCAGGUCCCCAGCUCGAGGAGCUGCUGGAGCAAGACCGUCAACAGGAGCUGCAGGAGCUCCAGGAGCAGCAGCAGAGGGGACAGCAGCUAGAAGAACUGCUCGAGUCUCCCUCUCACAGUCCACCCCAACCAGUGCCACCAGUGCCGCAAGAGCCUAGAAAUAGGGAGGAGAGUAUGCCAGUUUACGGUCCUUCGACCCCGGCGUGGCUCCGUCCAGGGGCGCCCACUUCGAUCCCAGUAGAGCCGGGGCAGGCGGACGGCGUGGUGGCGCUCGCCUGUAUGAUGCGUACCCCCAUUGACCCUCAGUCUGAGAUCAAGGGUACGAUCUACGACAUGGACGGAAUCGCUCCGGGAUUCCUCCGAGAACGUCGAUCGUGGGAGGACCGCGUCCCCGCCGAGGAAGACGAGAUCGGGACGUCGGGCGGCGGUGGCGGCAGCGAGACCGGGACCUAGAAGACUGUGGACGACGACGGGCGGUUCCCUUCCCUCGUCGACUUGUUCCUGCGCCACGGGGGUUCACUCGAGACCGUCGAGGAGCUCAUUCGAGGCGUCAAGGCGCGCGCCGACUAGGAGAUGGAGAACUGGUGCCCCGACCGGAUCCGCAUCCAGGCUUCCACCGAUCCGUCCAAACCUAACAUUUUCUUGGACGACCGGAAGGAGGCUGAAAAGUGGGAGCACAUCGAGGAGCUUCAUCUCUGGAUGAAGCAUACAGUGGGGCUCCUGUCCGACGUUGUUAACAACGGGCUCGGACCAGCCUACUUUGUAAGUGUUUUUCGGGUCUUAACCAUUAUAGAACGUUUGGUUUUGUGUUCUAACUGCUCGAUCGCCGGCUCGCAGGACCUGAAAGAGACUUCCCGCAUCAAAUCGAGCUUCAUCCACGCCACGAGUGGCGACUGGGAGCAACUCCCCAUCCUUAAGGACAAACUCCUGGAGUCGUAGGAGAACCUCCUCAAGGCCUACAAAGAGCUUUUGGCACUUGAGGAGGAGAAGAAGGGGAGGGAGGCUGCUCUGGCUGAGGCUCGAGAGGCCUCAAAGAAAGCAGUGGAAGAGGCUGCACUUUUGAGGGAGCGGACCAUGAUGGUCGAGGAAGCCGCGUCCAAGGCCCGGGAGGAGGCCUUGGCUUAUAAGAACGUCGUCGCUGACCUGGACAAGGAGAAGGGCCUCCUCAAGACUGACCUAGCCUCCAUCCGAGAAUCCUUCCAGAGGAUGAAGGUGGAAUGUGUAAAUGGCGAGAUCGCUCGAAGCGCCGUAGAGGAGGCCAAGAAGAAGGCUCUUGAGGAUCUCGAGUCAGAGCGGGCUCGAUCCCGCAGCUUCUCUGACGAUGUUGAUCGUCUGAAGAGAGCGCUGUUGGAAAAAGAUGGGGCCAUCGUGCAAGCCGGCAAGGUGAUCGAGGAUCUAUGCGUCACCAACACUGAGCUGGUGCGCUCCAACAAGGAGAUCGAGAGAGCCAACACCAAGCUGGUCGGUUAGAAUACGGCUCUGGAGGAGAGUAUUCGCGGUACAUUUCUAUUGUCGAGUUUCCUUUUCGAGGUGUGCUUUGUGUUAUCUAAUUUCUCCAUGUCGGUCCUUGUAGGGCUUAAUGAUGAGCUGCUUGCCGCCCAAGUCGAGGCUGGCUCCGCCAAGGCCCAGCUCGAGGGGGAGGUCGCUUUGAACUGUCGGCUGCGGACAGCGAUAAGCGAUCUCUUGACCUCUUGGGAGGUCGAGCCCAUGGAUGAGUCGAGGGAGGAAGCUCGAGGCAACGCACUGGUCGAUCAGCUAUGCUACCUAGGCGCAACGCUGAGGGAUCAAGUGCGGGACGCUCUUCGUAUCGGAGUGAAGCGGGCAAUGGCAGUAGUCUGCUCAGGCUUUUCAUACGGUAUGGAGGUCGUGUCCCAUGGCUUCGUCAUCGACAUCUCCAAGACUGACGCGGAGAACGAGGAGAGGCUCCACACCUUGAUCGAUGACGCAGAGGUCCCUGGGGAGAGGUUGGCUAAGUUGUUCGAGCCGGAAGUACUUCCCCCUGAGACUAGCUCGGGCGCGGGCAAUGGUGGUGAGGGCCCAGAUGCGGACUGAGGCCUGUGAGCCUGCGUUGGGUGCCUAGGCCCCUUGUAUAGUAUUUUGUCGUUCUAUCUUAUGUAGUACUGUGUUUUUGAGUGGCUUAUAAGAUCUGUGAAUGUUUGCCUAUCUUUCCGCUCGAGAUUCUUUUUUUGCCUGUAUCUGUAGUUCCCAUUUGGUCUUUUGUUAAGGCAACCUUGAUUACCUCAAGUGUGAGGAAGCGAGUAAAGGUACCGUAGCCCGUAGGCGUAGGAGUCCUUAGGCUCGUUGUCCCUCGGCCCUUAAGGGGCUCGAGGUGCCUCCGCUACUCGACCGCAUGAGAUUUACUAAUAGGAACGAGAGAAUUUCCUGGUUUUUUCGACAUUUGGGGGGGGGUACCCCCCUGCUAGCCCCCGAGGGGGUAUCAACUACGAUGAGUCAUAGUUGGUACUCCCUUCUAACGUUGAAAUUUCGACCAACGAAAAAAAGUAAAUUACUUCAGGGAAAGAUCUUUUUCAUUCAUGCGUUCAUUCAUAAGGUCUUGGUACAAAAUGUACAUGGGAACAUAAAGCUUUGAAAUUCUAGGGGUAGAAUCGACGUAGCUGUUCGAUGUUCCACGCGUUGGUGAAGAUCGCCCCUUUCUCGUCCGCUAGCUUGUAUGUCCCCGGCUUCAUGACGUCGGCCACUACGUAUGGGCCCUCCAAAGGUGGAGUUAGCUUGUGGUGUCCUUGAUUGCUUUGCCGCCGCCGUAGGACAAGGUCACCCACGUUCAGAUCUCUCUUGCAUAUGUGCUUGUCGUGGUAGCAUCGAAGCUUCUACUGGUAUCUGGCGGAGUUGAGGAGGGCCAUGUCUCGAGCUUCCUCGAGUUGAUCGACCGCAUUCUCUUGAGUCUCCUUAUUUGAUUGCUCAUUGUAUGCUUUGAGUCGAGGGGAUCCAUACUCGAGGUCCGUUGGGAGCACGGCCUCAGAGCCAUAGACCAUGAAGAAUGGGGUGUAUUUUGUGGCCCUUCUUGGUGUCGUCCUUAAGCUCCAUAGGACCGAAGAAAGCUCCUCGACCCAUUUCUUGCCGAAUUUGUUCAAGCAGUUGUAGAUUCUCGGUUUGAGCCCCUGCAAAAUCAUGCCGUUGGCAUGCUCGACAUGGCCGUUAGUUCGAGGGUGAGCUACUGCAGACCAGUUCACAUGGAUGUGAUGCUGAUCGCAGAAGUCCAAGAACUUUUUGCCGGUGAACUGAGUGCCGUUGUCGGUGAUGAUGACGUUGGGAAUCCCAAACCGGUGGAUGAUGUCAGUGAAGAAAAGGACGGCCUGCUCGGAGCGGAUGUUCGUGAUAGGUCGAGCCUCGAUCCAUUUGGAGAAUUUGUCGAUGGCUACCAAGAAAUGGGUGUACCCCCUGCUGCCUUCUGUAGAGGUCCUACUAAGUCGAGCCCCCAUACCGCAAAUGGCCACGUGAUGGGGUUCAUCUGGAGAGCGUGGGCGGGCAGAUGCGUCUGCUUGGUGUAGAAUUGGCACCCAUGGCACGAGCGCACGAGCUCGAUGGCGUCAGCUACGGCCGUUGGCCAGUAGAAGCCUUGUCAGAAAGCGUUCCCUACGAGGGUCCGUGGAGCAGCAUGGUGGCCACAAGCCCCCGAGUGUAGAUCCUCGAGGAGUUUUCGGCCUUCCUCUAUGGUGAUGCAACGCUGCCAGAUCCCUGUCGGGCUUCGUCGGUAUAGCUCGUUGCCUUCACCGUAGAUUACAUAUGAUUUGGCCCGUCGAGCGAUACGGCGAGCCUUGGAUCGGUCUUCAGGUAGCUCGCAACGAAUUAGGCAGUCGAGGAACGGCGUGCGCCAGUCGAACGGUCGGCUGGGCCGCUGUUCCACCUCCAUUGCCUCGGCUGCUACUAGCAGCGCUUUGAUGGUGUCGGUUUGCUGGGUGGGGGUGGCUUCGACACCAGCCCCCGAGCCCAAGUCGACGGAUGGCUCGUGUAGAUCUCUUGUGAAUGCGUCAGGUGGGACCGUGCCUCGAGUCGACGCAAUCUUAGCGAGUUCGUCGGCCGCCUCAUUGUAGCAUCGGUCGAUGUGGACGAGCUCGAGGCCGUGGAACUUAUCCUCGAGUCGAUGGAUCUCCUUGCAGUACGCCUCCAUUUUCGGGUCGUGGCAGCUCGAGGCCUUCAUCACUUGGUCGAUGACGAGCUGGGAGUCGCCUCGAACGUCGAGGCGUCGGACUCCUAGCUCGAUGGCGAUCUUCAGACCGUUGACAAGGGCCUCAUACUCCGCGACGUUGUUGGAUGUGGCAAAAUGUAUCCUGAUGACAUACCUCAUAUGAACGCCCAGGGGCGAGAUGAAUAGCAGGCCCGCCCCAGCUCCCGUCUUCAUGAGAGACCCGUCGAAUUACAUUGUCCACAGCUUUGCCUGAACUUGAGCCGGGGGGAGCUGGGAGUCCAUCCAUUCCGCGACGAAAUCCACCAGGACUUGCGACUUGAUAGCUUUGCGGGGCGCAGAAGUGAGGGUCUCACUCAUGAGCUCGACUGAACACUUAGCGAUUCUUCCCGUGGCCUCCCGACUCUGGACGAUCUCACCCAAGGGGAAGGACGAGACCACCUUGAUAGGGUGGCCGAGGAAGUAAUGUUGCAGCUUGCGUCGGGCGAGGAUCACGGUGUAGAUUAGCUUCUGGAUCUGUGGGUAUCGUGCCUUGGUCUCCAAGAGCACCUCGCUGACGAAAUAGACUUUCCUCUAGAUUGGCAGCGCAUGCCCCUCCUCCUGCCUCUCGACCACUACCGCUGCACUGACGACCUGGGUCGUCGAGGCGACGUACAGAAGCAGAGGUUCUGCGGGUUGGGGUGGGACCAGGACCGAGGUAGAGGUCAGUGUUUUCUUCAAGUUAUUGAGGGCUUCCUCGGCCUCGGGGAUCCAAGAGAAACGCUCGAUUUUCUUCAGGAGUCGAUACAGCGGCAACGCCUUUUCUCCCAACCUUGAGAUAAAACGACUCAGCGCCGCUAAGCAUCCCGUGACUCUCUGCACGCCCUUGACGUCUCGGAUUGGCCCCAUUCUCGUGAUGGUCGAGACUUUCUUGGGAUUAGCCUCGAUGCCACGCUGGGAAACGAUGUAACCCAGGAGCAUGCAUCGAGGCACGCUGAAAAUGCACUUUUUGGGGUUGAGCUUGAUCUGGUUGGCACGUAAGCAACUGAAAGCGAUCUUGAGGUCCUGAAUCAAGUCUGUCGGUGUUUUCCCACGGAGGGUCACACCAACGAGUAAAUUUGUAUGCGUGCUCCCUUUUCCAGAUGGUGAUGCAAGAAGACACAAAGAUUUAUCCUGGUUCGGGCAAGAGAAGGCCCUACGUCCAGCGGUGGAGGGAAGUUUGUAUUAUCUUGCACCUAAGUGCUUGUACAGGGGCGAAUACAAGUGCAUAUGAACUGGGAUGGAGUAUGGAGACUCCUCUACGUGUGGGUGUUGUGUUUCGUCAAUGUCUGUGUUCACUCCCGGGCCUCCCCUUUUAUAGUUCCAAGGAGACGCCUAGGGUACAUGUAUAGGUGACAGACUAGGGGUCGAUAGAGGCAUGGCGCGCUGACCUACUCGAGGCCUCCGUACCGGCGUGGUCUCGAGCCGUCCCGUCCAGAUAGCUUGAUGAUGAUCACGCGUGCCCUUAUAUCUCACUCCGUACGCUGUCUCGGCCUGGUUUGUCUGCGGCACGCCUGUACGUCGCGGCGGCUGAUACGUCAGAGUGGUGGCAGUGCCAUCAGUCGACGCCCAACCCUUCCCCAGGAAGGAAAUAGGUCUGGUCGAGGGUUGGACACCAUGUAGCGUCUUGCUAUCCAGAGCAUUGACUUUUGGGGCCUCGAGGGGGUCCUGACUAGAUGUUCCAUCCCGGCUUCCCGCGUCCUGACAUGCUCUGGGUCAUUUGGUGAGGAAGGCUGAAAAAGAAUGACUGGACGGGUGUCUGUUCCCCAUCACGUUUCCCGUGACCAGCGUGUUAGGUGGGAAAGCAACAGGCGCAUUAAAUGCCCUAGUUCUCGUGAGCACGUCAGGCGACGGGCGGCGUCCUUGGCGCUCGACGCCUCCUGGUUCGCUCGAGCCUACUUCCGUAAUCGACGAUAGCUGACGCUCGACCCCUGAGCGGUUCGCUCGAUGCCUUUUUCUGUCUUCGAGGCUGCUGCCGUCGAUGGCUGUAUGUUUGGUUGAUUAUAACGUCGAAUUGAGGGCCUCGAUCCGUGUAAGGGUAAUCUCGUUUUGUGCAUCAGUUAGGAUACCCCUUACUGAUACCCUCGACAGUAGCCCCCGAGUCUCAAUUUGAGUGCUGGCGCUCGGAUGGAGGCUAUAUUUUUAGGUUGAAUUUCCGUGGGGGCGCGCGAGCGACCCCGCGGGGGAAGCCCCCGAGCCCUUGGAGGAGUUUUUGACUCCUUCGAGGGUUAUGUUGCCUAAUUCGCAGAAAUGCUGUCGACACCAGUGGUGGAAGGUUCUGAUUGGCUCGUUUUGUGCGGAGGUUUCGACGUACUCUUGAUAGAGCGAGCGUCUUCCACCCCAAAUUGAGUUCCUAGCGGGUGGUCCAAGUGAGAACCUGUGCCCUUUUCGAGGGGGUCAGCUGUAGCCCAGAGGCGUUCUCAUAAAGCGGGAUCGACGUGGUCGGGGAUACUGAUCUCAUUCGAUAGAGUCCAGCGGCUCGAUGCCUCCCGUCGGGGGGAUUCCUCUCGACUGUCUCGACCCUACCUAGGACAUCCCUAGCAAGUCUUCGAGGCGGGCCUCGAUUUUCGACCACUUGCAGGGGAUCCCUGACUCUGGUGCUCGAGAUCGGCUAUCGAACCCUUUUGGCGGGUCAGCCUGUGACCUCUCGAGGCUUUCACGGGUACGCUCCUUGGCUUACAAGGGAAGGAAGAGGCCGUGGCGGUUCACCUUAUUGCCCAUUGGGCGCGCCUUUUCAGGUGGGAGCCGUUACUGUGUUGGCACAGAAUUCGGAGCGUCCCAUCUGUGAGGAGGAAAAAAGGACCGUUAGGCGGCGCAUUUAUGGGGGGGUUACCUCUUUUAUCGGAUCUGUCCAUUGGUGGACCGCGGCCUAUAAAUAUCUCGUGGUGUCGCCGGCGUUCCUCCUUCCACUUUCCGCUCUCUUGCCUUUGCUCUCUUGCUGCCUGAGUUCUCUUGCCAUCUUACGCGCGCGCGCACCCGCUCGAGCGGUAGCGAAUCCGCCAUCCUCCCAGCCAAGAUGCCUGUGAGACUCGUCGCCGCCGACGACUGGCGCCCGUCGUCGAUGACGAAGCGCCGGUUGCUAGAGCUUGAGAGAGAGGGACUCCUAUGCCACCGCACCUCGCUAUCGUCGCCGGAGUGGAUCGUGCCGCCAGCAGACCACAGGGAGCCCAAUCCGCCCAAGGGCUACGUGGUGUCGUUCGCCAAGUUCCACCGCCAUGGCUUGGGUGCUCCUCCGAGCUGCUUCAUGUGGGCGCUUUGCCUUCAUUACAGGGUGGAGCUCCAGCACUUCUCCCCAAAUGCCAUCACCGUCGCGGCGGUCUUCGCCGCGGUGUGUGAGGGCUACUUGGGGAUGAUGCCCCACUGGGAGCUGUGGCUCCACCUCCACAGGGGCGAGCUCUUCAACGCCCCCACCGGGACCACUGGCGUGAGGAAGCAUAUGCGGGCCGGGUGCCUCAACCUGGUGUUGAAGACGAAGAAGACGGAGAGGCCGCGCGAGUACAUCCCGGUGGGGUUGUCAUCGAACCACGCCGGAUGGGACUCCCAGUGGCUCUACCUGAGGAACGACGACGGUCUUCUCCCUGCUUACACAGGCCGUCUGAUUACGGAGCGCCCGGAUAACUGGACAUACAGCGUCGUCCAAGAACACCAGUCGCGGCUCGACCGCCUCCUUGACGCCCUGAAGAAGCUGCGCCUAGAGGGCUUGUCCGCCGCUCUCGUCCUCUCGGUCGUCCAUCAUCGGAGGGUCCUCCCACUAUGUCUUGGCCGCUGAGGAUGGAUGAGAUGGGGCCGGGCGUUUCGUCCCGGGAUCUCAAGGCAUGCCGGAUGUCUAACGAGGCUCUGGCGGACGACGAAACCGCUGCCCGGGUUAGGGCGGACAUUGCCGGCGACUUUAAGUCGGAGCAUGUAAAUGGCUUCCCCAUGAGGCCCGACGAGGGCUCGAUCGAUCUGGUAUGCACUUCUCUCGCACAUAGCUUCGAUUUUGGAUUUCCCUCGAUCCUUUUUCAGCCUACCUUUGUUCUGGCAGGGACGCAUUGAUGUCCGGUCUUCGAGGCCUCCUGUAAAGGAGGACGAGGUCAACCGUGACAAACGGCGCCAGUCCGCCGAGAAACUGAACUCUGCCAAGGACUCCGAGAAGAAAGGAAAAAAGAAGAAUCUCGACCGCCAAGCGCUAGAUGCGCGUCGAGCUAAAUCUAGGCAGAGGGGCGAGCCUGAAGAAGAAUCCCCUUGCGAGGAUGAUGGUGGGGAUGGUGACGACGACAGCGACAAUUCUGAGGGGAUGGCGUCUCGUCUUGACCGGGUCCUCGAAGGUCCGCCUCGAGGCGACGUCGACGCCCCGCGGAUGGGAGCGCCAAAGGUGGGGCCAGGUGGAUCUCACCGUCCCCACGCCGACACCCCUCCUGCGCCCGCGACCAAUCGCGCCGCCCCGCGCCCCCAGCCCCCCUGCACCGAAGGCGGGUGGGCAAGCUAAGCCCCAGACGACGGGGCCGCUGACCCGCGGUCGUGCCGCGACCUCCGAGAAGGGAGAUACCGGCCGCCGGAGCACCAGUCCCGGUGCCCGUCAGGCGGGAGUCGCUGGGCCAAGGCCAGCGCCGGCCCUCGAGGGGCCUGGGGCCUUGACGCGGGGUGGCUCGAGGCCCACCGGUCGAGGUACCGGCAGGCGAGCUGUUCUCUCUGUGGGGUAAGUUCUUCGAUGUUGUGAUUCUUAUUCUCCUAAUUCUUCAUGUUUUCUCGUAUUAUGGUAUUCUUUAUGCCCGUUCCUCUUUCCUCAGGUUGAAGCGGACGCUUGAGCAAGCCCAGCCUUCGAUCGCGAAGAGGCUCAAGGUGGGAGCUGCCUCCAAGGAGCCAGGUCUAUACCCUAUUCAUGGGACUUGUGUUGUUCUUACGUUGGUCAUCAUAGUGACUGGCCUUUGUUUUUUGUUUCAUAGGCUCCUCCAACCCUCGGCCUCCGACCGGUGCUGAGAGUGCCCCACCCCGUCCUGAGUCUGCCCCGUCGUCGCCGAAACGGGCUGAGGCGCCCCAGACCCAAGGGCAAGAGGGAGCCCCCGAGCCUCCCCGAUCGGGGGACGAGGGGGAUCCCAUUACCAUCAGUGAUGGGUCUGGUGGCGACGGGACGUCGAGGGAUGCCCGUCCUAUGGACGAGGAGACCUCGACCUCUCUUGUCGCGGGACGGACGCCCUGGCCUGCCGGUCUUCGCUCCCUCGAGGAGCAGAGGAAGAAGGAGGAGGAGGAGGAGGAGCGGGAGCGAGAGGCAAGGCGUCAACUGCAGGAGCAGGAGACGCAAUGGCAGCUGCAGGAGCAGGGACGCCAACAGGAGUCGCAGGAGCUUGAGGGGCAGCAGCAGCAGCAACAGGGGGGCCAGCCGUUGGAGGAACCGCUCGAACCCCCUCCUCACAGUCCGCCCCAUCCAGUACCACCGGCGCCGCAAGAGCCCGGAGACCAGGAAGAGGAUUUGCCAGUUUUCGGCCCUCCUACCCCAGCGUGGCUCCGUCCAGGGGUGCCCGCCACGAUCCCGGCAGAGUCGGGGCGGGCGGACGGUGUGGUGGCGCUUGCCUGCAUGAUGCGCACCCCUGUCGACCCCGAGUCCGAGAUCAGGAGGAUGAUCUACGGCAUGGACGGAAUCGCCCCAGGGUUCCUCCGGGAGCGUCGGGCGUGGGAGGACCGUAUUCCCGCCGAGGAAGACAAGGCCGGGACAUCGGGCAGUAAAGACGCCACCUGGAAGACGGUGGACGACGACGGGCGGUUCCCUUGCCUCGUCGACUUGUUCCUGCGCCAUGGGGGAUCCCUCGAGACCGUCGAGGACCUUAUUCGCGGCGUCAAGGCGCGGGCUGACCGGGAGAUGGAGAACUGGUGCCCCGAUCGGAUCCGUAUCCGGGCUUCUACCGAUCCAUCCGAUCCCAACAUCUUCCUGGACGAUCGGAAGGAGGCCGAGAAGUGGGAACACGUCGAGGAGCUCCGCCUUUGGAUGAAGCACAUGGUGGGGCUCCGGUCGGACGUCAUCAAUAACGGGCUCGGGCCGGCUCACUUUGUAAGUGUUUUUUUGAUCCUUAAUCCUCAUGGAGCUUUUUGGUUUUGUGUUCUAACUGUUCGACCACCGGCUCGCAGGACAUGAAAGAGACCUCCCGUAUCAAGUCAAGCUUUAUUCAUGCCACUAGGGGCGGCUGGGAGCAGCUCCCCCUCCUCAAAGACCAACUCCUGGAGUCACAGGAGAAGCUCCUCAAAGCCUAUAAAGAUCUUCUGGCGCUCGAGGAGGAGAAGAAGGAGAGGGAGGCUGCCCUGGCCGAGGCUCGAGAGGCCUCAAAGAAAGCUAUGGAAGAGGCCGUGCUUCUGAGGGAGCGGACUCUGUCUGUCGAGGAGGCUGUGUCCAAAGCCCGGGAGGAGGCCCUGUCCUAUAAGAACGUCGCUGCUGAUUUGGACAAGGAGAAGGGCCUCCUCAAGACUGACCUGGAUUCCCUUCGAGAAUCCUUCCAGAGGAUGAAGGUGGAACAUGUGAACGGAGAGAUCGCCAGGAGCGCCGCGGAAGAAGCCAAGAAGAAGGCCCUCGAGGAUCUCGAGGAGGAGUGGGCUCGAUCCCGCAGCCUUUCUGACGACGUUGAUCGUCUGAAGAGAGCGUUGCUGGAAAAAGAUGGGGCCAUCGCGCAAGCCGGCAAGGCGAUCGAGGAUCUGCAUGUUGCCAACACCGAGUUGGUGCGCUCCAAUAGGGAGGUCGAGAGGGCCAACACCACCUUGGUUGGCGAGAACACGGCCCUGGAGGAGAGCAUCCGCGGUAUGUUUUUGUACUAUCAAGUUUCUUUUCUAAGGUGUGUUUGGUGUGAUCUAAUUUACUCAUGUCGGUUCUUGCAGGUCUCAAGGAUGAGCUGCUGGCUGCCCAGGUCGAGGCCCGCUCCGUCAAGGCCUAGCUCGAGGGGGAGGAUGCUUUGAACCGUCGACUGUGGACGGCGAUAAGCGAUCUCUCGACCUCUUGGGAGGUCGAGCCCAUGGACGAGUCGAAGGAGGAUGCUCAAGGCGACGAGCUGGUCGACCAGCUGUGCUACUUAGGCGCGACGCUAAGAGAUCGAGUGCGUGACGCUCUCCAUAUCGGGGUGAAGCGGGCAAUGGCGGUUGUCUACUCGGGCUUUUCCUACGAUAUGGAGGUGGUGUCUCAUGGCUUUGUUACCGACAUCUCCAAGACCGAUGCGGAGAACGAGGAGAGGCUCCACGCCUUGAUCGACGACGCGGAGGUUCCUAGGGAGAGGCUGGCCAAGCUAUUUGAGCCCGAGGUACUUCCCCCUGAGACUAGCUCAGGCGUAGGCACGGGUGGUGAGGACCGCGGUGCGGACUAAGGCCUGCGAGCCUUCUUUGGGUGCCUGGGGCCCCUUGUAUAGUACUCUAUUUAACUUGACUUUAAGUAAUACGAUGUCUUUUGGUGAUUGUUAAAUGUUUAUCUGUCUUUCUCUCGAGGUUCUUUUAUUCCUUUUUGUGCCUAUGUUUGUCUUUCUCACUUGGUCUUUUGUUCGAGGCGGUCUCGAUUGCCUCAAGGGUGAGGAGGCGAGUAGAGUUUCCAUAGCCCGAGGGCGUAGGAGUUCUCAGGCUCGUCGUUUCUCGGUCCUUAAGGGGGCUCGAGGUACCUUUACUACUCAACUGUAUGAGAUUAUCGAUAGGAACGAAAGGAUUACUUGGUUUUUCCAACCCCUAGGGGGGGAUCACCCCCCUUGCUAGCCCUCGAGGGGGUAUCGACUAUGAUGGGUCGUAGUCGAUACUCCCUUCUAACGUUGAGACUUGCGAAAAGGUAAGUUGCUCGAGGGAGAGACUUUAUUUAUUCAUGCAUUCGUUUACAAGGCCUUGGUACAGAAUGUACGCAGGAACGUAAAGCUUUGAAAUUCUAGGGGUAGAAUCGACGUAGCUGUUCGAUGUUCCACACGUUGGUGAAGAUCGCCCCCUUUUCGUCCGCGAGCUUGUAUGUUCCUGGCUUCAAGACCUCGGCCACCACGUAUGGGCCCUCCCAAGGUGGAGUCAACUUGUGGCGUCCUUGAUUGCUCUGCCGCCGUCGUAGGACAAGGUCGCCCACGUUUAAGUCCCUCUUGCAUACGUGUUUGUCGUUGUAGCGUCGAAGUUUCUGCUGGUAUCUGGCAGAGUUGAGGAGGGCCAUGUCUCGAGCCUCCUCGAGCUGGUCGACCGCAUUCUCUCGAGUCUCCUUAUUUGAUUGCUCGUUGUACGCUUUGAGUCGAGGGGAUCCAUACUCGAGGUCUGUUGGGAGAACAACCUCAGAACCGUAGACCAUGAAGGACGGGGUGUAUUUUGUGGCCCUGCUUGGCGUCAUUCUUAGGCUCCAUAGGACCGAGGAAAGCUCCUCGACCCAUUUCUUGCCGAAUUUCUUCAAGCGAUUGUAGAUCCUUGGUUUGAGCCCCUGCAAAAUCAUGCCAUUGGCACGCUCGACCUGGCCAUUAGUUCGAGGGUGGGCCACUGUAGACCAGUUCACACGGAUGUGAUGCUGAUCGCAGAAGUCCAAGAACUUUUUGCCGGUGAACUGAGUGUCGUUGUCGGUGAUGAUGACGUUGGGAAUCCCAAACCGGUGGAUGAUGUCGGUGAAGAAAAGGACAGCCUGUUCGGAGCGGAUGUUGGUGAUGGGUCGACCCUCGAUCCAUUUGGAGAAUUUGUCGAUGGCCACCAGCAAGUGGGUAUACCCCCCUUUUGCCUUUUGUAGAGGCCCCACUAGGUCGAGCCCCCAUACCGCAAACAGCCAUGUGAUGGGUAUCAUCUAUAGAGCGUGGGCGGGCAGAUGCGUCUGUUUGGCGUAGAACUGACACCCAUGACAUCAGCGCACAAGCUCGAUGGCAUCAGCUACGGCCGUUGGCCAGUAAAAACCUUGUCGGAAGGCGUUCCAUACAAGGGUCCGUGGAGCAGCAUGGUGGCCACAAGCCCCCGAGUGUAGGUCCUCGAGUUGUUUCCGGCCUUCUUCCACGGUGAUGCAACGUUGCAAGACCCCCGUCGGGCUUCUUCGAUAUAGCUCAUUAUCCUCGCCAUAAAUUACAUAUGACUUGGCCCGUCGAGCGAUACGACGGGCCUCGGAUCGAUCUUCCGGCAACUCGCAGCGGAUUAGGCAGUCGAGAAACGGCGUGCGCCAGUCAAACGGUCGACCUGGCCGCUGUUCCACCUCCAUUACUUCAGCCGCCAUUAGCAGCGCUUCGACGUUGUCGGCCUGCUAGGCUGGAGCGGCUUUGACACCAGCCCCCGAGCCCAUGUCGACGGACGGCUCAUGUAGAUCUCUUGAGAAUGCAUCGGGUGGGGUCGUGCCUCGAGUCGACGCGAUCUUGGCGAGUUCGUCGGCUGCCUCGUUGUAGCGUCGGGCCACAUGGACGAGCUCGAGGCCGUGGAACUUGUCCUCGAGUCGAUGCACCUCCUUGCAGUACGCCUCCAUUUUUGGGUCGUGGCAGUUAGAGGCUUUCAUUACUUGGUCGAUGACGAGCUGGGAGUCGCCUCGAACGUCGAGGCGUCGAACUCCAAGCUCGAUGGCGAUCUUUAGACUAUUAACAAGGGCCUCGUACUCUGCAACAUUGUUGGAUGUGGCAAAAUGUAUCCUGAUGACGUACCUCAUAUGAACGCCUAGGGGCGAGAUGAACAGCAGGCCGGCCCCAGCACCUGUCUUCAUGAGAGACCCGUCGAAAUACAUCGUCCACAGCUCCGACUGGACCUGAGUCGGGGGAAGCUGGGAGUCUGUCCAUUCCGCGACAAAAUCCACCAGGGCUUGUGACUUGAUAGCCUUGCGAGGUGCAUAAGUGAGAGUCUCACUCAUGAGCUCGACCGACCAUUUGGCUAUUCUUCCCGUGGCCUCCCUACUUUGGAUUAUCUCGCCCAGGGGGAAGGACGAGACCACCGUGAUUGGGUGGCCGAGGAAGUAGUGCUGCAGCUUGUGUCGGGUGAGGAUUACGGCGUAGAUCAGCUUCUGGAUUUGGAGGUAACGUGCCUUGGUCUCCAAGAGCACCUCGCUGACGAAAUAGACCGGCCUCUGGACUGGCAACGCAUGCCCCUCCUCCUGCCUUUCGACCACCACAGCUGCACUGACGACCUGGGUCGUCGAGGCAACAUAAAGGAGCAGUGGCUCCGCGGGUUGAGGUGGGACCUAGACUGGUGCUGAGGUCAUUGUUUUCUUCAGGUUUUCGAGGGCUUCCUCGGCCUCGGGGGUCCAAGAGAAAUGCUCGACUUUCUUCAGGAGCCGAUACAAUAGCAACGCCUUUUCUCCCAACCUCGAGAUGAAACGACUCAACGCCGCUAAGCAUCCCGUGACUCUCUGCACACCUUUGAUGUCUCGUAUCGGCCCCAUUUUUGUGAUGGCCGAGACUUUAUCGGGGUUGGCUUCGAUGCCGCGCUGGGAAACGAUGUAUCCAAGGAGCAUGCCUCUAGGUACACCGAAAACGCACUUCUCAGGGUUGAGUUUGAUCUGGUUGGCGCGUAGGCAGCUGAAAGCGAUCUCGAGGUCCUGGAUCAGGUCUCCCCGCCGCUUUGACUUGACGACAAUGUCGUCGACAUAGGCCUCGACUGUCGGCCCUAUAUGCUUGCCAAACACAUGGAGCAUGCAGCGUUGGUACGUGGAUCCCGCAUUUUGAAGCCCGAACGGUAUGGUUACAUAGCAAUACAUCCCAAAAGGAGUGAUGAAAGACGUCGCGAGCUGGUCGGACUCUUUCAUUUUUAUUUGAUGGUAACCAGAAUAUGCAUCAAGGAAAGAAAGGGUUUCACAUCCCACAGUAGAAUCAACAAUUUGAUCAAUACGUGGCAAUGGAAAGGGAACUUUUGGACAUGCUUUAUUUAAACUCGUAUAAUCGACACACAUCCUCAUUUUCCCAUUCUUUUUCUUAACUAGUACAGGGUUUGCUAACCAGUCGGGAUGGUGAACCUCCUUGAUGAAUCUAGCCAUCAAAAGCUUGUGGACUUCCUCGCCAAUGAUCUUGCGCUUCUCCUCGUCGAAUCGGUGCAACCAUUGCUUCACUGGCUUGGAACCGGCUCGAAUUUCUAAGGAGUGCUCCGCGACUUCCCUCGGUAUGCCUGGCAUGUCCGAGGGACUCCAUGCAAACAUAUCGGCGUUCGCACGGAGAAAGUCGACGAGCACAGCUUCCUAUUUGGGGUCGAGGUCGGCGCUGAUCGUCAGCACCUUGCUGUCGGAGUUGUUAGGGUCGAGCGGGAUCUUCUUGGUUCCUUCCGCUGGCUCGAAGCUGCCCGCGUGGCGCUUGGGCUCUGGAGCCUCGGCGGCCAGGGCCUCGAGCUUCGAGACGAGCUCGGCGGAAUUCUCGACCGCCUCCCCAUACUCGACGCACUCGACGUCGCACUCGUAAGCGUGCUCGAAGGAGGAGCUGAUGGUGAUGACGCCUUUGGGACCGAGCAUCUUCAGCUUAAAGUAGGUGUAGUUGGGUACAGCCAUGAAUUUGGCGUAGCCUGCGUGCCCGAUGAUGGCGUGGUACGUGCCCCGGAACCCCACCACCUCAAAGGUGAGGGUCUCCUUUCUGAAGUUGGCCGCCGUGCCAAAGCAAACCGGGAGGUCGAUUCGACCCACUGGUAGAGCCUUCUUUCCUGGCACGACGCCAUGGAAGCCGCCGGCGCUUGGUUGGAGCCGCCCCCUGUCGAUGCCUAGGAGGUCGAGGGUCUCAAGAUAGAUGAUGUUGAGGCUGCUGCCGCCAUCCAUCAGCACCUUUGAGAGCUGGAUUUUGACGAUGAUGGGGUCGACGACGAGCGGGUAGACGCCCGGGGCAACCACCUUGUCGGGGUGGUCCUCUCGAUCGAAGGUGGUGGGGGUGCUCGACCAGCUGAGGUACUGGGGUACCGCCAUUCUCGCCACGAAGACCUCACGGCGUUCCCACUUACGUUGCCUUGUAGUCAACUGCGUCGAGGGCCCACCAUAGAUCAUGUAGCAGUCGUGGAUGGCAGGAAGCCGUCGUCGUCUUUGUUGCCCUCCUUGUCACCACCUUUCUCCUUCUUUGGGUCGUCGCGUGCGUCCUUUUUGAACCCCAGACCAUCGAAAUGCUUUUUCAGCAUACAACAGUCCUUGAGCUUGUGGUUGGCUCCUCCCUUAUGGUAAGGACAUGGCUCCUCUAGCAUCUUAUCACAAAUGCCUCCAUCUGGAGGGCCUCGAGGCCUCUUGCGUUCCAUGGCGGCGAUAAGAUUGUCGUCGAAAUCUUCCUGCUGGAACUGCCGCGCUUUCUACUUCUUCUUGUUCUUCUUGGGCCCUCGACUGGGGGCCCCAUCUUCAUCGGUAGGCUGCUUGCCUUUCUUUCCUUCACAGCUAAAGAAGGCACCGACCGCUUCCUCCCCUGCUGCGUAAUUUGCCACUACGUCCAUCAGCUCAUCGAUAGUCUGAGGGCGAUUUCGGCCCAAUUCCCGCACUAAGUCUCGACUGGUGGUACCAGAGACAAAGGCCAGGAUGACAUCAUGGUCAGGGAUAUGCGGUAGCUCGGUGCGCUGUUUCGAGAAGCGUCGGGCAUACUCUCGAAGAGUUUCUCCUAACUUCUGCUUGCACUUGCUGAGGUCCCACGAGUUCCCAGGCCGUAUGUAGGUCCCUUUGAAAUUACCCUCGAAAACCCUAACCAAAUCGACCCAGUCAUGAAUCUGAUCGGCUGGAAGUUCCUCGAGCCACCGACGGGCGGUGUCGGAGAGGAAGAGCGGUAGCUGUCUGAUGAAGGCUCGAUCAUCUCCUCGAGCGCCUCCUAGCUGACAGGCCAGCCUAAAAUCGGCCAGCCACAACUCUGGUUUGGUUUCACCGUUGUACUUUGCGAUGCUGGUUGGGGGUCGGAACGGACUGGGCAGGGGUGUGCUACGGAUUGCCCUGCUGAACACCCGUGGGCCUGGUGGCUCAGGGGCCAUCCGGAAUUCAUCGCUGUCGUACAUCCCACCGCGAUGUCUGCUGUAGCCACGCUCUUCCGCGUCUCCAUGCCGAUGGCGUCGAUUCUCUUCAAUAUCGCGUCGUGCGUCGUGUCGACGCUGGUUGUCGACGGGGAGGACGAGCGUGGUCUUUUUUGCUCAGGGAGGUGGCUGUUGAUGGACCGACACUUUGUUGGGUAUUCUUAACAUCAUUACCAAAAGUAGACUAAGUUCUCUAAAUCUAGUAACGGUGCCAAAAAUGCCAAAC